rnacentral:rRNA from 1 species
CCUACGGGGGGCAGCAGUAGGGAAUAUUGCUCAAUGGGGGAAACCCUGAAGCAGCAACGCCGCGUGGAGGAUUAAGGUUUUCGGAUUGUAAACUCCUUUUGUUAGAGAAGAAAAUGACGGUAUCUAACGAAUAAGCACCGGCUAACUCCGUGCCAGCAGCCGCGGUAAUACGGAGGGUGCAAGCGUUACCCGGAAUCACUGGGCGUAAAGGGCACGUAGGCGGGAUAGCAAGGCAGAUGUGAAAUCCUAUGGCUUAACCAUAGAACUGCAUUUGAAACUGUUAUUCUAGAGUAUGGGAGAGGUAGGUGGAAUUCUUGGUGUAGGGGUAAAAUCCGUAGAGAUCAAGAGGAAUACUCAUUGCGAAGGCGACCUGCUAGAACAUAACUGACGCUGAUGCGCGAAAGCGUGGGGAGCAAACAGGAUUAGAUACCCGAGUAGUC